AUGGAGAUUGACCAGGACAAGUGCACGCUGACGGUGGUCGGCACCGUCGAUCCGGUGCGGCUCCUGCAGUGUCUCAGGAAGUCGUGCUUCGCCGCAGUUAUCAUCAGCGUCGCAGACGACAAGCCAAAGGAGCCAGAGAAGAAGAAGGACCCCUGCCAGGAGGCCUGCGAGAAGGCCUGCAAGGACAAGUGCGAGAUGGCUUGCAAGGAGGCGUGCUGCAAGAAUAAGUGUGAGAUGGCUACUUGCAAUGAGGCGUGCUGCAAGAAGAAGUGCGUGAUGAUUACUUGCAACGAGGCGUGCUGCAAGAAGAAGUGCGACAUGGCUACUUGCAAUGAGGCGUGCUGCAAGAAGGUGACGCCGUCCUGCUACCCGUCCCGCUGCACGCCGGACUGCGACUCCAGCCCCUGUGGCCUGCCCAGCUGCCGCUUCUACAUCUACGGCUGCGUCGUGCGCAAGCCGCCACUGGGACACGGCUGCAACAAGGGGAGGUCACGCGGACUCAGAGGAGAAUGCGGCAUCCAGUAG
rnacentral:rRNA from 1 species